AGGGUGUAAACGCUGCAGACUUGGUGUUGGAAAUCCUUCGAGGGUAUUCAGUGCCGGAGAGAAGUUGUUAAGUCUGCUACUUGGGGAGUACGUCCGCAAGGAUGAAACUUAAAGGAAUUGGCGGGGGAGCACCGCAACGGGAGGAGCGUGCGGUUUAAUUGGACUCAACGCCGGGAAGCUCACCGGAUAGGACAGCAGAAUGAUUGCCGGGCUGAAGACCCUGCAUGACUAGCUGAGAGGAGGUGCAUGGCCGUCAGUGACU
rnacentral:rRNA from 1 species